UCACUUCACAAAAACUAUCGCCAUCACUAACAAACAAAACAAACCAAAAUGUAAACAAUGCAAACAAUUAGGAGUGACGGGAAAUAUAUGGUGUUUUGGUGGCUAUUGGUGACCUAGCCAAGCACGCCCACCCAACCAAGGAUGCCCCGGAGGAUUCUGCGGAGGCAUCACCCAUAAUCAGCUGGUCCAAGUCACUCCUCGCGACUAGGACAGCUCCAUCUCCCCCACAACGACAACUCACUCGUACAUUUCAGUCUUCAUGUACAUUUAAUAUCCACACCUCUACGACCAAACUUGGCCACCGUCUCCAAAUUUAACCGGUCAAAGCGGAAGAUUACCUUCCUUUGGCAAAGGCUACAGGCGCCGCGGAAAUAAUGUUCCACCAGUCACUUAUUGGUGGAACUCGCAUUGAACGAGGCGCACAAAAGCACACACACGGUUAGUGUGUCGGGUCACCUAAUCCUGAGGAGCUCCUGGGGAAAAGAAGGGACAGGCCAAACGGCAACAACGAGGACAAGAAUUGAGGUUUUCGGGUCUAAGUCCGGAUAAAUUUACAGGUCAACAGGCGCCGGGCUAACUAUGCCCCGACCACAGUGUACUCUGCCGGAGACCAGCAGCAGCAAGGGCCUGGAACACCCCGAGGAGCGGUGGCGAAGGCGAGCCUGAUGGCGGUGCCUCUCAACGCCGCGCGCACUGGCAGCCUUACGACCCCAAAACAGGUGGGUCUUAAUAGCCCGGAACGGACUCACCGGCGUAUAUAAGAAAGCGUUGGCGGCGUCCGAGGAUGACGAGUUAUGGUGUCCAAAACGUAUCUCUGGGUUGUAAGAAG